rnacentral:misc_RNA from 1 species
UUUCCGUAGGUGAACUUGCGGAAGGAUCAUUAUCUAUUCCAUGAGGUGCGGUCGCGGCCCUCGGCGGGAGCAACAGCUGCCGUCGGGCGGUAGAGGUAACACUUUCACGCGCCGCAUGUCUGAAUCCUUUUUUUACGAGCACCUUUCGUUCUCCUUCGGCGGGGCAACCUGCCGUUGGAACCUAUCAAAACCUUUUUUUUGCAUCUAGCAUUACCUGUUCUGAUACAAACAAUCGUUACAACUUUCAACAAUGGAUCUCUUGGCUCUGGCAUCGAUGAAGAACGCAGC